UACCUUGCUAUUGCUUUGUCUUACAAACUUGCCAUCAUUAUCACUCCAAAGCUGUAGCCUAGUCUUAAACUUGUGAGUCUUAAAACUUUAAUCCUUCUAGAGUCUGUGCCUCUUCUUCUCUGUCCUCUCUCUUUCUGGUGUAGCAUAGGCUGUGCAGGGUGAAUUGAGGAAUGUGCUCCACCCCCCGCACCUCCCUCUGUUUUCUCAAUGAGUCGUGUUGUGUGUUUAACUGUCAUCCUCAGGUAAUCUUGUAGACCAGUUAUUAACUAUGGUUAUCUAUAACCCCAGACUCCGGAUGUUAAAAACGUUCUGGUUUUAUCAGACAGAGUUCGUUUUUGAAACAGGAACCUAUUUUAUCAGCCGGAGACAGGAGUUUGGAACUACAGACUAUAUAAUAAUCUGGUUGUACCAGAAGUAACGGCCCCCAGCCCCUCACCAGUUAUUUCCCACAUGCAGAGCAGCACUCGGGUGUUUUGUUUUCUUUUUUUUUCUUACUUCUGUAAGUACCCUACCAGAAAUCUAGAGGUCUUCACACUAGUGACCUGAAACCAGAGCGAUGACCCUUCAAAGAGAACACGGUACGCAUUCAGCCUUUCCUCCGUAACUUAAGAAAUAGCAAAAAUCGACACUUUGUAUUUUCAUUCCUGCGUGUUUUCAAUUAACAGUUUUUGACUUAAUCGGCAAUGAGCUUCAUUCAACCGAAUAUCACCUUGAAGAUUUCUACUCAGAGGAGCAAAUAGGUUCUACAAGGGAGAAUGGCAUUCCAUCAGAGCAGGUUGUAGAUCUCACAGGAGAAGUCGAUGGUGCGAGCGAUUGUGAACAGUACUUUAUGCAGGGUCUCUCCCCUACCUUUUACGAGGAGAACGCUCCGGUUCUGGAAUCGGAUCAGCCCUCGGUUUCAGUACCGCAAGCGUACAUAACACCGGGGUCCCCGGAACACGAUGAGCCGGAUGUGUCCCCGGAAUCACCUGUUGAUGAUGUAGAGCGCUCCAGUCAGGCCGCAGAUGGGAGAUCACAUAACGGAUCACCGGUAGAACCGCGGGGACUGACAGCGGGGGGAAAUCAUUCAUCCGGAUCCAGCAGAACCGUGUACGCCGCUGAAUCAGACUGAGCCUAUACCGAUCAACGGACCUCGGAAAAGGGAACACCGUAGAAGGCUCAUUUCAACCAGCAGUAGCAGUAGCAGUAGUAGGAGCAGCAGGCCAACCACAAGCAUUAAGUGAAAUUGUUUAUUAUAAUGCUCAGGGGCUGCGCAUUUUAUUUAGCUCAUGUAAUAUCAUUAACCAGCCAACAGACGUCGCUCUAAAACCAUUAACCUAGCAAAUAUGCAGUCAUAAUAAAAUAGUAUAGCCUAUAUACACAGUUUCCCGUGAUACAAUGUUGCUGAUUAUUAGGAUAUACAAUUAAUGAGUUAACAGUAAUCCACACUAAUUUCUCAAAUACAACACCAUGUCAAAUGUUCUAUGCACCAAGUAGUCUUAUGAGUUAUUUAACCUGACUUUAAAAGCUAUUUUGCUUCUUUUCAUAAAGUAAGCUAUUACUGUGGUGUUUGUUUGUUUGUUUUGCACUUUGCACUACAGUGUUUUGGUACUGAUGUCUGACAUUCAGGGUAUUUAGUUACAAGAUAAUGUAAGAGUUUUAAAAAACUUUAAUGAUGCCAUGCAAAUAAUUUUUAAAAAACUAGUUUGCUUGUUUGCUAUAAAGUAUUAAUGUAGAGAUUUUUAAGGGUGAAGCCUGACUUUCAGUAUUAAAAUACACAAAAGAGGUUAAAGUGUCUUUGUUUUUGUCUCCCUCCAGCAAACAGACCCCGACGAUCCGUGAGAGGCUGUCAGAAUUGCUGUCGGACUGCCCAUGACAACUAGUUUUAAUGAGUAAUGCUUUCCGACUAAUGGGUG